rnacentral:rRNA from 1 species
UACGGGGGGGGCAAGCGUUGUUCGGAAUUACUGGGCGUAAAGGGCUCGUAGGCGGCCAACUAAGUCAGACGUGAAAUCCCCAGCUCAACCUGGGAACUGCGUCUGAUACUGGAUGGCUUGAAUUCGGGAGAGGGAUGCAGAAUUCCAGGUGUAGCGGUGAAAUGCGUAGAUAUCAGGAGGAACACCGGUGGCGAAGGCGGGUCUCUGGGCAGUAACUGACGCUGAGGAGCGAAAAGCAUGGGGGAGCGAACAGG